rnacentral:ncRNA from 2 species
CUGGGUUGGUUGGGGUGUCCUUGACAAUUCUUUCUCGAAAAGCUUUCUUGAAAAGUACACAUUCAAGGCCUGAGAGAUACCCAUUGAACCUGAACCAGAUAAUACUGGCGUAGGAAACCGGCGAUCAAAAGUU